GCCGGUGUUGUGCCGAAUUCUGCACCCCCGCCGUAAAAUGCACCCCCUGUCGGGAGCGCGCUUACGUCACUCGGUUGCAUCACCCGUCUCGAAAAGUAGCUAAACUCGGCUAAAAUCGCCUCUUUCGGCAUAAAAAUGUACAUAACAAGGUGAAUAAUCCAAGUUGUCUUUACUUUGGAUAUAUUAAUGGAUGGAUUAAUUGUGAUUCUUUAAUGAUUUCGCCGCCAUUGCCUUUAAUGAUUUCGUCGUCAUUCAAUCGCCUCUUUCGGCAGAAAAAUGUACAUAACAAGGUGAAUAAUCCAAGUUGUCUUUACUUUGGAUAUAUUAAUGGAUGGAUUAAUUGUGAUUCUUCAAUGAUUUCGCCGUCAUUGCCUUUAAUGAUUUCGUCGUCAUUCAGAGACAUCAAGGAGAACGAAUGUUUGCUGCUUCACUCGACGGGAUCCAAUACAUGUAUUUUAAAAAUAUGACAUUUUCUUUAACUGUAAGAAGCUCAUGGGUGGAUGGAUGAAUACAUUAAUAAAUGAAUGCAUCUGA